rnacentral:rRNA from 1 species
AGAGUUUGAUCCUGGCUCAGGACGAACGCUGGCGGCGUGCUUAACACAUGCAAGUCGAGCGAUGAAGCUCCUUCGGGAGUGGAUUAGCGGCGGACGGGUGAGUAACACGUGGGUAACCUACCUCAAAGAGGGGGAUAGCCUCCCGAAAGGGAGAUUAAUACCGCAUAAUAAUCGGUUUUCACAUGGAGACUGAUUUAAAGGAGUAAUCCGCUUUGAGAUGGACCCGCGGCGCAUUAGCUAGUUGGUAGGGUAACGGCCUACCAAGGCGACGAUGCGUAGCCGACCUGAGAGGGUGAUCGGCCACAUUGGAACUGAGAGACGGUCCAGACUCCUACGGGAGGCAGCAGUGGGGAAUAUUGCACAAUGGGCGAAAGCCUGAUGCAGCAACGCCGCGUGAGUGAAGAAGGUUUUCGGAUUGUAAAGCUCUGUCUUUGGGGACGAUAAUGACGGUACCCAAGGAGGAAGCCACGGCUAACUACGUGCCAGCAGCCGCGGUAAUACGUAGGUGGCGAGCGUUGUCCGGAAUUACUGGGCGUAAAGAGUGCGUAGGCGGAUAUUUAAGUGAGAUGUGAAAUACCCGGGCUUAACCCGGGCACUGCAUUUCAAACUGGAUAUCUAGAGUGCGGGAGAGGAGAAUGGAAUUCCUAGUGUAGCGGUGAAAUGCGUAGAGAUUAGGAAGAACACCAGUGGCGAAGGCGAUUCUCUGGACCGUAACUGACGCUGAGGCACGAAAGCGUGGGUAGCAAACAGGAUUAGAUACCCUGGUAGUCCACGCCGUAAACGAUGAGUACUAGGUGUAGGAGGUAUCGACCCCUUCUGUGCCGCAGUAAACACAAUAAGUACUCCGCCUGGGAAGUACGAUCGCAAGAUUAAAACUCAAAGGAAUUGACGGGGGCCCGCACAAGCAGCGGAGCAUGUGGUUUAAUUCGAAGCAACGCGAAGAACCUUACCUGGACUUGACAUACCCUGAAUAUCUUAGAGAUAAGAG